CGGGCUGUAGUAUACCGGUAGUACGCGCCCAUGGGGUGGGUGUAGAGGGAGUUCAAUUCUCCCCAGCCCGA
rnacentral:tRNA from 1 species